GAUGAACGCUGGCGGCGUGCCUAAUACAUGCAAGUCGAGCGAACAGACUAGGAGCUUGCUCCUCUUACGUUAGCGGCGGACGGGUGAGUAACACGUGGAUAACCUACCUAUAAGACUGGGAUAACUUCGGGAAACCGGAGCUAAUACCGGAUAAUAUAUUGAACCGCAUGGUUCAAUAGUGAAAGACGGUUUUGCUGUCACUUAUAGAUUGAUCCGCGCCGCAUUAGCUAGUUGGUAAGGUAACGGCUUACCAAGGCAACGAUGCGUAGCCGACCUGAGAGGGUGAUCGGCAACACUGGAACUGAGACACGGUCCAGACUCCUACGGGAGGCAGCAGUAGGGAAUCUUCCGCAAUGGGCGAAAGCUUGACGGAGCAACGCCGCGUGAGUGAUGAAGGUCUUCGGAUCGUAAAACUCUGUUAUUAGGGAAGAACAAAUGUGUAAGUAACUAUGCACGUCUUGACGGUACCUAAUCAGAAAGCCACGGCUAACUACGUG
rnacentral:rRNA from 1 species